rnacentral:rRNA from 1 species
AUUGAACGCUGGCGGAAUGCUUUACACAUGCAAGUCGAACGGCAGCACGGGGGCAACCCUGGUGGCGAGUGGCGAACGGGUGAGUAAUACAUCGGAACGUGCCCGGUCGUGGGGGAUAACGUAGCGAAAGUUACGCUAAUACCGCAUACGAUCUGAGGAUGAAAGCGGGGGACCUUCGGGCCUCGCGCGAUCGGAGCGGCCGAUGUCAGAUUAGGUAGUUGGUGGGGUAAAGGCCUACCAAGCCGACGAUCUGUAGCUGGUCUGAGAGGACGACCAGCCACACUGGGACUGAGACACGGCCCAGACUCCUACGGGAGGCAGCAGUGGGGAAUUUUGGACAAAGGGCGCAAGCCUGAUCCAGCCAUUCCGCGUGCAGGACGAAGGCCUUCGGGUUGUAAACUGCUUUUGUAUGGAACGAAAAGGCUCUGGCUAAUACCUGGGGCUCAUGACGGUACCGGAAGAAUAAGCACCGGCUAACUACGUG